rnacentral:tRNA from 1 species
GCCGAGGUAGCUCAAUGGCAGAGCAAUGGUUUUGUAAACCAUAGGUUGGAGGUUCAAAUCCUCUCCUCGGCU